rnacentral:rRNA from 1 species
CCUACGGGUGACAGCAGUCGAGAAUCUUUCACAAUGGGGGAAACCCUGAUGGUGCGACGCCGCGUGGGGGAAUGAAGGUCUUCGGAUUGUAAACCCCUGUCAUGUGGGAGCAAAUUAAAAAGAUAGUACCACAAGAGGAAGAGACUGCUAACUCUGUGCCAGCCGCCGCGGUAAUACAGAGGGCUCAAGCGUUGUCCGGAAUCACUGGGCGUAAAGGGUGCGUAGGCUGUUUCGUAAGUCGGGUGUGAAAGGCGCGGGCUCAACCCGCGGACGGCACAUGAUACUGGGAGACUAGAGUGAAGGAGGGGGAAGCGGAAUGCGCGGUGUAGCAGUGAAAGGCGUAGAUAUCGGGAGGAACACUCGUGGCGAAGGCGGGUUACUGGACAGUAACUGACGCUGAGGCACGAAAGCGAGGGGAGCGAAAAGGAUUAGAUACCCCAGUAGUC